rnacentral:rRNA from 1 species
GAUGAACGCUGGCGGCGUGCCUAAUACAUGCAAGUCGAGCGAACAGACGAGGAGCUUGCUCCUCUGACGUUAGCGGCGGACGGGUGAGUAACACGUGGAUAACCUACCUAUAAGACUGGGAUAACUUCGGGGAACCGGAGCUAAUACCGGAUAAUAUAUUGAACCGCAUGGUUCAAUAGUGAAAGACGGUUUUGCUGUCACUUAUAGAUGGAUCCGCGUCGCAUUAGCUAGUUGGUAAGGUAACGGCUUACCAAGGCAACGAUGCGUAGCCGACCUGAGAGGGUGAUCGGCCACACUGGAACUGAGACACGGUCCAGACUCCUACGGGAGGCAGCAGUAGGGAAUCUUCGGCAAUGGGCGCAAGCCUGACGGAGCAACGCCGCGUGAGUGAUGAAGGUCUUCGGAUCGUAAAACUCUGUUAUUAGGGAAGAACAAAUGUGUAAGUAACUAUGCACGUCUUGACGGUACCUAAUCAGAAAGCCACGGCUAACUACGUG